rnacentral:rRNA from 1 species
GACGGGGCCCGCACAAGCGGUGGAGCAUGUGGUUUAAUUCGACGCAACGCGAAGAACCUUACCAGGGCUUGACAUCCCCUGACCGCGUAUGAAAGUACGUUUUCACCCUCGGGUGACAGGGAGACAGGUGGUGCAUGGUUGUCGUCAGCUCGUGUCGUGAGAUGUUGGGUUAAGUCCCGCAACGAGCGCAACCCCUACGUUUAGUUGCUAACGCGUGAAGGCGAGCACUCUAGACGAACUGCCGUUGACAAAACGGAGGAAGGUGGGGAUGACGUCAAAUCAUCAUGCCCCUUAUGUUCUGGGCUACACACGUGCUACAAUGGCCGGUACAGACGGACGCGAAGCCGCGAGGCGGAGCAAAUCCGAAAAAGCCGGUCUCAGUCCGGAUUGGAGUCUGCAACUCGACUCCAUGAAGUUGGAAUCGCUAGUAAUCGCGGAUCAGCACGCCGCGGUGAAUACGUUCCCGGGCCUU